rnacentral:rRNA from 1 species
AGCGAACGCUGGCGGCAGGCCUAACACAUGCAAGUCGAACGGAUCCUUCGGGAUUAGUGGCGGACGGGUGAGUAACACGUGGGAACGUGCCCUUUGGUUCGGAACAACUCAGGGAAACUUGAGCUAAUACCGGAUGUGCCCUUCGGGGGAAAGAUUUAUUGCCAUUGGAGCGGCCCGCGUCUGAUUAGCUAGUUGGUGAGGUAACGGCCCACCAAGGCGACGAUCAGUAGCUGGUCGGAGAGGAUGAUCAGCCACACUGGGACUGAGACACGGCCCAGACUCCUACGGGAGGGAGCAGUGGGGAAUCUUGCGCAAUGGGGGAAAGCCUGACGCAGCCAUGCCGCGGGAAUGAUGAAGGUCUUAGGAUUGUAAAAUUCUUUCAGCGGAGACGAUAAUGACGGUACCCGCAGAAGAAGCUCCGGCUAACUUCGUG